AUAGUUUGGUCUCUCUCUGUCAUUGAUUGUACAAUGCACACGCGUACCAGUUCAGUUUGUGAGUGUGUGAUGUGGCGGUUGGAGCCAUGUUUAUUUCGACAUUAUAGAGAACAAUGAUCUGAGACUUGCUGGUUGAAGACACUAAUGUGGUUUGACUUUCGUAUUUCUCACAUGCACCUCCCUGACUUCACUCCUCUUUUCUCUGCAGUCGGUUGCUUUCGCUUUACCACUCAAACACGCCCAUUAUGUUCCAUAGCCGGAACAUGCUUGAUUUUUUUUUUAAACUCCUGUAUGGACUACUGACUAGUAGUUAUAAUCUUCAUGUUUUUUUUUAAAAGUUUAGCUAUAGGUUAAUUGUAGGAGUCGUGCUUUGCUUACCAACUGAGGUAUACGUUAUCCAUCAUUAUUUGAGGUGACCUUUUCGGGCAUUUACUACAGUGGGUGCGUCAUUUCUUGAACAGGCCAGUAGGUGGCACUCGUCCAUGGGUCGUGCAGGGAUCCUUUCGCUUUGAUGGAUUUAAAAAUGUUUCCUUCUGCUGCGCUCAGCGCUCCAUAUUCGUGUGCACCCACGGGCCCCAAAACGUGCGCGCAAAAUAUCACUUUGCUUUGUCCGCUGCUUUAAUAGACGGUUUUCCGUAUGGGUUGCCAACUGCCACAUCGUUGGUGAAUGAAUUUUAGGCCUACAUGAACAUUAAGGGUAUCCAUCUGGCAUUUCAUGAUAUUUGAAGUGUCGUUUUUAGUCUAUUGAACUAUUCUCUACUCUACUCCAUCUUUCCACUUGCUUUAUUUUCCCGCUGAACUUUGUCUGGGUCACUGAGCUGCCCCUUAUUUUCACAUGUGUCCUGCCCCGUUACUUUUUCUCCCCUCCCCUCAUGUGUUCACUUGCCCCUCCCACUAACACACUACUCUGCUCUCUCCUCUCCUCUCACUCUCUUCCUCUCUCUCUGGAACACUCAAACCCACAGGCGUACAGAGGAGACACUCCCACACACAGCAACUCUACAGACAUGUCAGACUCCGAGACCGCCGCUCCGGCUGAGGCCCCCGUCCCUGCCGCAUGUGAAAGCAUCAAGGUGGACCUGGACAAAUGUGUGAAGGAGGGCGGUGACUGUAAGGAUCUGAUGGAGGCGUUUGCAGCCUGUCUGAAGAGUGCGGCGGAGGCGUCGUGAGGAGGAGCUAGGCUCACAGGAAAUGUCCACUGCAUUGAGUCCUCCAUGUUUACCAGUAUUCCCUUCUGCACAACGAGCACUGGGCUGAAUGAUACUGGCGGUGUUUGGCGCCUGGCAGAAACCCUCCACCUCUUACCUACCCCCCCCUCGAAGCUUAAAUGGUGUCUUCCGAUUUGUAUCCCCUGCUCUGCUCCCACCGUGGCUGAGUACAUCCAUUGGUAGACAAUUCCCAGAUAGCCCAUGGGUUUUAUGUAAGUUGUCCACUUAAGAUGCAUACAUUUAAAAUGGAAUAAUAAACUCUAAAAGAAAUUGGUAUAACAUUUUG
ensembl:lncRNA